rnacentral:lncRNA from 1 species
GAAGAAUAACCGAUCAUGUGAUUUUCUUUGUCCUCCUAUGAGCUUUCCCUUCCUUCUGAAAAAAUAAUAUGGAUUUACCUAUCUCUAUUAGUUCAGUAGAAAGAUCCGAGUUUCUACCAAAUUAUGUGCAAUCUGGAUGCAUGUGAUAGCACUGUCGCAAAAGUGGCAAAGCAAACAACAAAAGGACAGAAGGGGGGGCAUAAUAUGACAUUUAGGCAUGUUAAAGACUGAGAUUAACAACAUCCGUCCCAUGACAAACAAAAUUAGAAUGUGCUAAACACAAUUAACAUAAAUCGCUUUAUUGCAAGGUGGUCAUCACCACAAUAUGGUCGUCGUUUCUUCCUCUGGCGUUGUCGCUCGCCCAUCAAACAAACCGCGGCAGAGACACUGGCUAUGAUCGCUCACCCAGCAAACACCGCGCGGCAGAAACACUUACUAUAAUUGCUUGCCCUGCAAACACCCAAAGCAGAUAUGAAUGCCUAUUCCGAUUAAAGAAAAUAUGCAUUUCUUUCGGAACUCCCCUAGAAAGAGUUGAGGGACAGAAUGGUAGCAAGAUUUACCAAAGUGUCACCUCACAACUCCCUGGUUGACAUAAAACAACAUGUUAGGAUAGAUCAUGGUGUAUGCACAUUAUUCAAAGAGCUAAAUGAUAUAUAUACAAAGUACAGGCACUCUAAGUUUCACAUAGAUUUACAUUCCAGUACGGGCUCCAAAGGAAAACUAAUUAAUUUUGAUAGAAUUCACUGUCAAAUCUAUGAAGCACAAUCUUCCAUUUUCGUAGUUCAGUAUCAAGCAUCAGAACCUAAAACAGAAAUGACUGAACUCACAAAUCCAACCAUUUUCUGUAAAUCAACAACUCACAUGCAUCCCAUCUCUGAAAUAUUGUAGCCUGUCCUAAAUACUAAAGCAUGUGUGGUAUUUGCUCCGUUUAUAAUUAAGUGUCUUGUUGCAUGCUUGUCUUGAAUAAGAGGAUAAAUGCAAUCAUAUGUGUAGCUGCAUAUAUAUAGGAAAGAGUGAUGAUCUUAACAGUGAAAUGGGAGAGCUUCUGAAUUAAGUACAAGAUUGCAUCAUCCCUUCUUGAAAGUUUUUUAACUGAACCUCGCAAACUAACAGGGGCACUACUUAUGGCACCUAACACCCAAAAUUACAGAACCAAAAAGAUGCACUAUGCAUUUCGGAUCAGUUCAUAUCCUAAUGAUUCAAAAUAUAGCAGUCAUGCUUAAAAGAACAUAAUUUAUUUAAGUUGUAGUAUAUGUAGCAAACAUGCUCGUGCGUUGCAACGGGAGAAGAAAACGACAUUUUCAAAUUUAGCGUGAGUUGUAUGUAUUUGCAAAAUGCAAAAGAUCAGCUAAACAAAUGAUCAAAGAAUAAAUGGGUUUUCUGUAGAUCAAUGUUCAAGUUUCUGAAGGAGGUUAUAUACAUGUUGUUGAGACGAAGAUCUGUGAGGAUGUGGCGUCUUCCAUGUUGCAUCUCAGAAAUUCGACUGGACCCUGAGAACAGUUUGCUUUUCUAUUUAGGAAAGGUUAAUUAAUUAUUUUCCCACAAAAAGGUUAAUUAUUGGCUUCCUCCUUGUGCCAUUUCAUUGUGUGUGGGAGCUUUCCUUCAGACUACAGGGAGAAACCAAGAUAUGUGCUUGAACUGUUAAUUUAAGUCCUUUCUACCAGUGCGAUCAUCUGCAGUUUUGAGUUACUGCCAGCUACAUCUAUGUGCUUCCCAGUUUCCCUGUGCAUUGCUGGAGAACAACUUAAUAUUAUGUUUCAUUUUCUUUUGAGACUUCAUACUGUAGCUGCAGUAUCAGGUAUCAAAAAUUGUUUGUGUAUAUAGGCCACAAGUACAAGAAUCCUUCAUUAUAACUGUAGCAUCUGCUCCAAAUACUGAAUGAUGGCAUUACCUUGUCAAAUACUGAAUGCAGCUAAUUUUGGCUUUUUCAAUAGCUAAUUGUCCUGACUAAAAUAAGGAUUUUGACAUUGGUUAUUGUUUUGUUAUUAAUCCAAAAUAUAUAUUGGUGCUAGAGCACAAUCCCUGUGCACAGGGUACAGGAAAACAAUUGGCAUAUACACGAUACAGAAGAAAUUAGAAGUAAAUAGUACAUGGGAGCAAUCAGCAUACAGAGCUCGUGUUCUUCGAAGAAAUCUGCAACAAAUCAAAGGAGACGGAGAGGGAUGUGAGAGCUCACCCACUUGCCUGCCACAAGAAAUAGAAAUUUUCUUAGUCUGUAGAUUCAGUAAAGCAAUUACAGUGAAGCGUAACAUUCCAACUCUAUAAGACCACUGUCAGUGGCGAAUAUACUUCCAGUUAUGAUCAUAAUAAGCCAAUAAAUGGACUUUUCUUUUCUUAUUAUACCAUUGGAAGAGUGCAUAAAUCUGGAAAUCAAGAAAAAAGAAAGAGUUUACACUAAAGAUUAUCAACUAAAAAAGCAUGUAUAAAUCCUUAGAUUUAAUCAGUGCUGAAUAAGUGGUUCCAUUUUCUUUGUGGGGGUUGACUAUAGAGACUUACAUUUUUCUGCCUGGAAUCUUUCUGACAUUAUUAGUGAGAAUCAUGGCACACAUUAUCAGUCAGGUAUGAACUUUAUGACAUGGUAAGCCGACAUCAUGGCAGAACUUACAACAUGCAGCACAUGCACUAAAAUUUGUCAAAUUAUUGUACAGAAAUAUUUAGUCAUUUUUUCCAGAAACCGUCAAUACAGAACAGUUGAAAUCUAGUGUUUUUCCUUCACCAGCCUUCACUAUCUUAGUUUCACAAAAAAUGCAAGCAGCAGACCCAGGAACGCAGAGAGAAAAUCAGACUAAGGUAUUGAGAGAAAAUGUAGUUGCCUUGCAUGUACAGCGAAGUCUGCCAAGCUUGCAGUGUCAGUGGAAAAUGCUAAUGGUUCCUUGUAGGUUUAAGAAACAGCAAAACUUGAGGCAUCAGAAUACACUACAGCAAUAUAACAUUGAGUAUGUGUGUUGCAACGGGAGAAAACGCGGGAUGGGGAACCGGUUGUGCGUUGCAACAGAAGAAAGUGUGAGAUAGGGAGCCGGUGUUGAUAUUAUUUAGUGACGAGUAUUUACAACCCAUCUCACAUCAAAGUGAUAUAAUCAAAUGUAAAUAAAAUUCUUGGAAAACAUUGUUCAACAUAUGU